GUGGGAGGGGGCUUGCCCCCGAUUGCGCAGAGUCAGUCACUACAUCUUUGGCUGACCCACUGCAAUCGGGGGCAAGCCCCCUCCCAC
rnacentral:misc_RNA from 1 species